rnacentral:snRNA from 1 species
GUGCUCACUUCAGCAGCACAUAUACAAAAAUUGGAAUGAUCCAGAGAAGAUUAGCAUGGCCCC